rnacentral:rRNA from 1 species
GCACAAGCGGCGGAGCAUGCGGAUUAAUUCGAUGCAACGCGAAGAACCUUACCAAGGCUUGACAUAUACGAGAACGGGCCAGAAAUGGUCAACUCUUUGGACACUCGUAAACAGGUGGUGCAUGGUUGUCGUCAGCUCGUGUCGUGAGAUGUUGGGUUAAGUCCCGCAACGAGCGCAACCCUCGUUCUAUGUUGCCAGCACGUAAUGGUGGGAACUCAUGGGAUACUGCCGGGGUCAACUCGGAGGAAGGUGGGGAUGACGUCAAAUCAUCAUGCCCCUUAUGUCUUGGGCUUCACGCAUGCUACAAUGGCCGGUACAAAGGGCUGCAAUACCGUGAGGUGGAGCGAAUCCCAAAAAGCCGGUCCCAGUUCGGACUGAGGUUGCAACUCGACCUCAUGAAGUCGGAGUCGCGAGUAAUCGCAG